UGGGGGAAUAUUGCACAAUGGGGGGAAGAGGAGAAGACGGUACCCCUAGAAUAAGCCACGGCUAACUACGUGCCAGCAGCCGCGGUAAUACGUAGGUGGCAAGCGUUGUCCGGAUUUACUGGGUGUAAAGGGCGUGUAGCCGGGUCUGCAAGUCAGAUGUGAAAUCCAUGGGCUUAACCCAUGAACUGCAUUUGAAACUGUGGAUCUUGAGUGCUGGAGGGGCAAUCGGAAUUCCUAGUGUAGCGGUGAAAUGCGUAGAUAUUAGGAGGAACACCAGUGGCGAAGGCGGAUUGCUGGACAGUAACUGACGGUGAGGCGCGAAAGUGU
rnacentral:rRNA from 1 species